CGAGAAGGUCACACCCGUUCCCAUCCCGAACACGGUAGUUAAGCUUCUCUGCGCCAAUGGUAGUUGGGGGCUUCCCCCUGCGAGAGUAGGUCGCUGCCGGGC
rnacentral:rRNA from 1 species